rnacentral:rRNA from 1 species
UACGGGGGGGGCAAGCGUUGUUCGGAAUUACUGGGCGUAAAGCGUGCGCAGGCGGUUCGUUAAGUCAGCUGUGAAAGCCCCGGGCUCAACCUGGGAAUGGCGGUUGAAACUGGCGAACUAGAAUCUGGCAGAGGGGGGUGGAAUUCCACGUGUAGCAGUGAAAUGCGUAGAGAUGUGGAGGAACACCGAUGGCGAAGGCAGCCCCCUGGGCUGAGAUUGACGCUCAGGCACGAAAGCGUGGGGAGCAAACAGG